rnacentral:rRNA from 1 species
CGGAGGCAGCAGUGGGGAAUCUUGGACAAUGGGGGAAACCCUGAUCCAGCGAUGCCGCGUGAGUGAUGAAGGCCUUCGGGUUGUAAAACUCUUUCGACGGGGACGAUAAUGACGGUACCCGUAGAAGAAGCUCCGGCUAACUUCGUGCCAGCAGCCGCGGUAAUACGAAGGGGGCUAGCGUUGUUCGGAAUUACUGGGCGUAAAGCGUGCGCAGGCGGCCAUUCAAGUCAGGGGUGAAAGCCCAGAGCUCAACUCUGGAACUGCCUUUGAAACUGUAUGGCUUGAGUAUGAGAGAGGUGAGUGGAAUUCCCAGUGUAGAGGUGAAAUUCGUAGAUAUUGGGAAGAACACCGGUGGCGAAGGCGGCUCACUGGCUCAUAACUGACGCUCAUGCACGACAGCGUGGGGAUCAAACAGGAUUAGAUACCCCGGU